CCGGAAGUGUGAUUCGGUUGUGUGCUGCACGAUACCAAGGAGAAAUUUACAAGUGGUGCAGCUAAAUAACGUUUUGUAAGGAAGAAGAAAUUAAGAGAUUGUAAAAACAAAGAAGCGUUGACUUCUUAAUAUUUAUGAUUUGCAACACAGAGCUUAUCUUAUCUGUAGAGUGUAUUUGAAGUUUGAAGUAUAACUGAAGAUAAAAGGAACUUCAAGUAACUUGGUUGAUGCAAAACACAAGUUAUCUUAAACUAUAGUGGAUGUGUUGUUAUGAAAACGCAAUGUGAUAUUAUUGUAAUUUGAUUGAAUAUUGGAACAAAGACUUAUCAAGCAGUAGCAGUAAAGAGUGGUAUGAUAUGCAGAAAGAAAAAAUAGUAACAGAUUAUAAGAAUGGUAGUCU